ensembl:lncRNA
ACCGUGUAUUCCUCUGUGCGGGCCCGGGGGGGCCAAGGGGGUCCGAUGGGGCUGGGGGGGCCCUGGGGGAGACCGGGGCUGAGGGGGGUCCCGGGGGUGCGCCAGGCCUGGGGGGGGGGGGAGGAGGGGAGGGGGUCAGUCCCGUAGCCCCCCCCCCGCUUCGUUGUUUUGUUCCCAACAGCAAUAAAUUAAGAAAGAUUUAAUUGGGGGGGGGGGAUGUAAAUAAAAAAAAAAGAAGGAAUUAAAAACGGCACCACCCCUCGGGUGGGGGAUGCAGUCGAGGCGGGGGGGGGCGGUCCAGGGGUUCCCCCCCCCUCCCCCAUGUGGGGGUCCCAAGCCCCCGUUGAGGGGAGUCCCCUGUCCCCACUUGGGGGGGUCCCCACUGAGGGGUCCCUGUGCCCCCAGCGUGUCCCCAUGGGGUCCCCACCUUUGAUUCCCCCCCCCCAAAAUCUGGCUGCACCCCCAGCCCAGGUCUGCAGUCACCCCCCCAUUAACCCCCCCCCCCCCCCGUGUCCCCAGGCGGGGGGAUGACAACGCAAAGUGCCGCCCAAUGCGGGGGGGGGACACACACUGUAGGCGCCCCCGACGGGGGACGACGGGGUGACACCACCACUGGAGCGGGGGAGGGGGGUGACAACACCCGGGGACAGCGGAGACGGCGGGGGGGCACCCUGGGAUGGGGUGACACCACCCACGGGGGGGGGGGGGGGUGACAGUGACACCCAUUGGGGGCGGAGGACACCCAUAGAGGAUGGUAAUGACGCCCGGGGGGGCGCAACACCCCUAUAGGGUGACAGCACCUGCAGGGCGACAGCGACACCCAUUGGGGGGGGGGGGUGACAGCACCCAUGGUGGGGGCACAACGCCUGCAGGGUGACGGUGACACCCAUGGGGGGGUGACAACACCUGCAGGGUGACAGUGACACCCAUUGGGGGGGCGACAAUGACACCCAUUGGGGGGUGACGAUGACACCCAUUGGGGGGUGACGAUGCCACCCAUUGGGGGGGGGCCAAGACACCCAUUGGGGGGUGACGAUGACACCCAUGGGGGGGGCGACAAUGACACCCAUUGGGGGGUGACGAUGACACCCAUUGGGGGGGGGGCCAAGACACCCAUUUGGGGGUGACGAUGCCACCCAUCGAGGGGGGUCGUGGGGG